CCUACGGGAGGCAGCAGUGAGGAAUAUUGGUCAAUGGCCGGAAGGCUGAACCAGCCAUGCCGCGUGAAGGUCAGUGCCCUUUGGGCGUUAAACUUCUUUUGUGCGGGAGCAAUAAUGGUCACGUUUGGCCAGACGAGAGUACCGUACGAAUAAGCAUCGGCUAACUCCGUGCCAGCAGCCGAGGUAAUACGGGGGAUGCAAGCGUUAUCCGGGUUUAUUGGGGUUAAAGGGUGCGUAGGCUGGGAGGUAAGUCAGCGGUGAAAUGCCCCCGGUCAACGGGGGGAAGUGCCAUUGAUACUGCCUUGCUGGAAUGCGGAUGCGGUAGGCGGAAUGUGUGGUGUAGCGGUGAAAUGCAUAGAUAUCACACAGAACACCGAUUGCGAAGGCAUCUCACGAAGCUGCGAUUGACGCUGAUGCACGAAAGCGUGGGGAUCAAACAGGAUUAGAUACCCCAGUAGUC
rnacentral:rRNA from 1 species